GAAGUCGGACCGGAAGGACCGGUGGACUGCAUACAAGUGAGAAUGCCGGUAUGAGUAACGAAAAGACAAGUGAGAAUCUUGUCCGCCGAAAGCCUAAGGGUUCCUGGGGAAGGUUCGUCCGCCCAGGGUAAGUCGGGACCUAAGGCGAGGCCGAAAGGCGUAGUCGAAGGACAACAGGUUGAAAUUCCUGUACCACCGUAAGCCGUUACGAGCGAUGGGGGGACGCAGGAGGGCAGAGACGCGAGCUGAUGGAAUAGCUCGUCCAAGCAGUGAGACUUGUACGUAGGCAAAUCCGCGUACUGUAAGGUUGAGCUGUGAUGGGGAGGGAAAAAUGCAGUACCGAAGGUCUUGUGCUCACGCUGCCGAGAAAAGCCUCUAGCCAGGCGAAGGUGCCCGUACCGCAAACCGACACAGGUAGGCGAGAUGAAAAUUCUAAGGCGCGCGGAAGAACUCUCGUUAAGGAACUCGGCAAAAUGACCCCGUAACUUCGGGAGAAGGGGUGCCCCGGUAGCGUGAAUAGCGCGAGGGGGCCGCAGUGAAGAGGCCCAAGCGACUGUUUAGCAAAAACACAGGUCUGUGCGAAGCCGUAAGGCGAAGUAUACGGGCUGACGCCUGCCCGGUGCUGGAAGGUUAAGGGGAGCGGUUAGGGGCAACCCGAAGCUGUGAACCGAAGCCCCAGUAAACGGCGGCCGUAACUAUAACGGUCCUAAGGUAGCGAAAUUCCUUGUCAGGUAAAUUCUGACCCGCACGAAUGGCGUAACGAUCUUGGGCGCUGUCUCAACGAGAGAUCCGGUGAAAUUUUAGUACCUGUGAAGAUGCAGGUUACCCGCGACGUGACGGAAAGACCCCAUGGAGCUUUACUGCAGCUUGAUAUUGGACUUUGGUACGGUCUGUACAGGAUAGGUGGGAGCCUGAGAAGCCUGAGCGCCAGCUUGGGUGGAGGCGCCGUUGGGAUACCACCCUGAUCGUAUCGGAGUUCUAACCUGUCACCGUGAAUCCGGUGAAGGGACCGUGUCAGGCGGGCAGUUUGACUGGGGCGGUCGCCUCCCAAAAAGUAACGGAGGCGCCCCAAGGUUCCCUCAGCGCGGUUGGAAAUCGCGCGAAGAGUGCAAAGGCAUAAGGGAGCUUGACUGCGAGACCUACAAGUCGAGCAGGGACGAAAGUCGGGCUUAGUGAUCCGGUGGUACCGAAUGGAAGGGCCAUCGCUCAACGGAUAAAAGCUACCCUGGGGAUAACAGGCUUAUCUCCCCCAAGAGUCCACAUCGACGGGGAGGUUUGGCACCUCGAUGUCGGCUCAUCGCAUCCUGGGGCUGAAGUAGGUCCCAAGGGUUGGGCUGUUCGCCCAUUAAAGCGGUACGCGAGCUGGGUUCAGAACGUCGUGAGACAGUUCGGUCCCUAUCUGUCGCGGGCGUAGGAAAUUUGAGAGGGGCUGUCCUUAGUACGAGAGGACCGGGAUGGACGCACCGCUGGUGUACCAGUUGUUCCGCCAGGAGCACCGCUGGGUAGCCAAGUGCGGGAGGGAUAAGCGCUGAAAGCAUCUAAGCGCGAAGCCCGCCUCAAGAUGAGAUUUCCCAGUAUGUAAGACCCCUGGAAGAACACCAGGUUGAUAGGCCCGGGGUGGAAGCGCGGCAACGCGUGCAGCUGACGGGUACUAAUCGGUCGAGGGCUUAUCCUA
rnacentral:rRNA from 1 species